rnacentral:lncRNA from 1 species
GCCUGGAGAACCUCACAUUGAUGGAUCUCGCACACUACAGAGAGCUGAGGAAUCUCACCAUCACGUCGUGCAAGCUGAGGCUCAUCUCCGCUAACGCCUUCCAACAAAACCUCAAGCUUCAGUAUGUGAACUUGGCCUUCAAUUCUCUGGAGCACAUAUCCUGGAGGGUUUUCCAUUUCCUACCCCUGCUCAACCUGUGAGUCCCACCUAAGUCAUGAAAUCUUACAAAUAAAUAAGUGUGUCGCUGAAAACAAGGAAGCUAGUAGAUGGAGAAGAACCGCAGUUC